rfam:Gossypium raimondii Chr02_contig_1456, whole genome shotgun sequence.
UAUUAAAAAUUUUAUAUACUUGUACUAUUAAAAAUUGACAUGACUAACAAAAUAUCUAGAUGGUAACAUGCGGCGUGUUAUGUGUACCUCAUGCUAAUGUAUAGUGACCAGUUUUUAACAGUAGAAAUUGAUGAAAUUUUUAACA